CUGCUGAGAGGUGCUGGGUGGGGCAGGGCUGCUCCCAGCUCCACACCAGCCUGGGCACAGCUCCGGAUGACAGUUCCCAAAAGAAGAAUGUGAGCAUUCAUAACAAAACUGGAGCAAGGAAGCCCUUGGACCUUCUCCAAGGGUUGACUCAAGGGUAUCUAACAGGCACAACUGACUCUCCUAAUGGAUGUUCCUGUUAAAUAUCCUAGUUAAUCAACCCUAAUAGAUUGUUGGAAUUGGGGGCUGGAUGUGCCUCAUCCCCACUGGGACACCUGGAAGCUUCCAAUAAAGGUCCCCAUGUUUGGCCAGAGCAAAUGUCCAACAGCAGCUCCAUCAGCCACUUCCU